UAGCCUUGUGGUUAAGGCUAUGGAUCGCCAAUCCGGAGACGGCGGGUUCGAUUCCCGU
rfam:Aedes albopictus isolate Foshan contig77475, whole genome shotgun sequence.